GGACUUACUUCAACAGCACAUACACUAAAAUUGGAACGAUACAGAGAAGAUUAGCAUGGCCCCUGUGCAAGGAUGACAUGCAAAUUUGUGAAGCGUUCCAUAUUUUU
rnacentral:snRNA from 1 species